GAUGAACGCUGGCGGCGUGCCUAAUACAUGCAAGUCGAGCGAACAGACGCGGAGCUUGAUACUCUGACGUUAGCGGCGGACGGGUGAGUAACACGUGGAUAACCUACCUAUAAGACUGGGAUAACUUCGGGAAACCGGCGCUAAUACUGGAUAAUAUAUUGCACCGCAUGGUUCAAUAGUGAAAGACGGUUUUGUUGUCACUUAUAGAUGGAUCUGCGCCGCAUUAGCUAGUUGGUAAGGUAACGGCUUAACAAGGCAACGGUGGUUAGCCGACCUGAGAGGGUGAACGGCCAGACUGGCACAGAGGCACGGUCCAGACUCCUACGGGAGGCAGCAGUAGGGAAUCUUACGCAAGGGACGAAUGCCGGACGGAGCAACGCCGCGUGAAGGAUGAUGGUCUUCUGAUCGGAAAACUCUGUUAGUAGGGAAGAUCAAAUGUGUAAGUAACUAUGCACGUCUUGACGGUACCUAAUCAGAAAGCCACGGCUAACUACGUG
rnacentral:rRNA from 1 species